AGUGCAGAUACGGGGCUAUGUACGUGGAACACAAAGAGGUGCAUGCAGAUACGUACAUCCAAACACGCACAUACGCACGCAUGUACAUAUGUACAUACGCAGAGGUGGUGGUGGUGGCGGAACAGGAUGGACUGGACGGUGUUAUCUAACCCGAGGAUGUGCCCGCCCAGGCCAGCCACUGGACAUCCGGACACUCGUGCGGGAAUGCUUUUGGGGGACAGCGGAUUCACUCGAUUCGAUUUACUUGGGCAAGCGCCUGGAAUUCGCCUUCACCGACGAUCCGAUCCGAUCCAAUGUGAUGCGAUCCGAUGCACUUGUGCUGGGCAGAGCCAACGGAAACGUCCUUUGUAGAAUUGUGUUUACUUUUGGGGGCUUCGACUCCUGCUGCCCGAUGUGGGUGAA
ensembl:ncRNA asRNA:CR44806 antisense RNA:CR44806